CGUUGAAACAUACUCAAAAGUGAGUAGGAUUCUACUCAGUUUUGUAUUUAAUCGAAAAUGUCAAAAACUGAGUGACAUUAUUUUUCCAAAGAGAGUAGAUUUCUACUCAGUUGCAUUAGUUUGGGGAUGAACUCACUUUUGAGUAGCAUCAUUCAAAUUCAUCUUCGGUAACGGUCAGCAGUUUGCCGUAAAUGAAAUUUGCGGAUUAAUUUAUUUAAAGAAUUUGUUGUCAUCUUUUGCGAUAACCACUCCUGCAUUACAAGGUUGUUAUUGAUGUCGAGCGGCGGAUCCAAGUUGACGGACAAGAUGCCACUUAUUUUUUCCUGCUAAGUGAUGAUCAUGGCAACAAAAUUUAAUUCCGGAACCUCCACCGCAGCCAGUAUGAGGCCGACCAGCUCGAAAACCGAGAACCAUUCCAUACCAUCCCCUUCAUCAUAGAUCAUCGAAAUGGAAUAUGUUUUUGCAGAUUUGGAAUUAGUGCUCGAAUUAGUGUAACAAAUCAUUAAUUGUAAAAUUACUUUUAAAUAUAUGAAUAAACAUGUUCUUUCAUUAUUUUGUAUUUUUUUUUAUUAAUUUUACGAAUAAAACCUACCAAAAUAA